rnacentral:rRNA from 1 species
CCUACGGGGGGCAGCAGUGAGGAAUAUUGGUCAAUGGACGAGAGUCUGAACCAGCCAAGUAGCGUGAAGGAUGACUGCCCUAUGGGUUGUAAACUUCUUUUAUAUGGGAAUAAAAUGUUCCACGUGUGGGAUUUUGUAUGUCCCAUAUGAAUAAGGAUCGGCUAACUCCGUGCCAGCAGCCGCGGUAAUCCGGAGGAUCCGAGCGUUAUCCGGAUUUCAUGGGUUUAAAGGGGGCGUAGGGGGAUGUGUAAGUCAGUUGUGAAAGUUGGCGGCUCAAACGUAAAAUUGCAGUUGAAACUGGCAGUCUUGAGUACAGUAGAGGUGUGCGGAAUGCGUGGUGUAGCGGUGAAAUGCUUAGAUAUCACGAAGAACUCCGAUUGCGAAGGCAGUUCACUGGACUGCAACUGACACUGAGGCUCGAAAGUGUGGGUAUCAAACAGGAUUAGAUACCCCGGUAGUC